UACGGAGGGUGCAAGCGUUAUCCGGAUUUACUGGGUUUAAAGGGUGUGCAGGCGGAUAUGUAAGUCAGUGGUGAAAUCUCUAGGCUUAACCUGGAAAUUGCCGUUGAUACUAUAUAUCUUGAAUGCUGUGGAGGUAAGCGGAAUAUGUCAUGUAGCGGUGAAAUGCUUAGAUAUGACAUAGAACACCUAUUGCGAAGGCAGCUUACUACGCAGAUAUUGACGCUCAUGCACGAAAGCGUGGGGAUCAAACAGG
rnacentral:rRNA from 1 species